CCUGUAUGUACACAUUACAUCAAAGAGAAUCCCAACUAAACUUCAGGAUGGAGGAGAUAAAAGUUCAAGUUGUCCCUGGUUGGUGAGGGAAGUUAGACUAGAUUGGGCAAAGAUUAGGGGAAUUGGUAAUGAACCAUAACCAAAACUUCUAAAAGAAACCUGAGGUGAAAAGACCACCAUUGAGGCUGGGUUCACAGCACAGGGAACAUGCAGGCUGGUUUUGGAGUAGUCAGUUAUCUCGAGCUAGCAAAUCAUUGGUAAAUAAAAUGCUAAAAACUUGGAAAAUAAGAAAGGUAGAAGGGAAAGAGCAGAGAAUACAGGAAGGACUGAGAAAGGAAGAGAGCUGAAAAAAUUACUUAGGGGAAAUCAAAGAAUGAAGCAAAUAGGAAAUAAGAAAAAUGUGAAGUAGGAGAAUCUAGGACAUCAGGGGGUAACCCAGGAUUUAUGCCAAGUCAACAGAAGACAGGGUUGAACUUUUGAGGAAAAAAUAAGUCUGAAGUGCCAAGGAAAGCACUGGGCAAGAAUGUUAGGGCCCAAAAGGCAAGGAGGCUGUUAACUCAAGGAGAGGGGGCUGCCUCCCUGGCCUCCUUCAGGGAAGGCUGUAUUUCGUUAGGACUGAAGAAACCCUGGGCAAAGUGAUACAAAUAAAGAGCACCUAUAAAGGGUCAAGGAAAGAUGAACAGAAAAAGUGAAAGGAUGGAGCAGCUAAACAGCCAGAGCACAAAGGACCACCAAGAGAAGUUACAGGUUCACACAGAAGGGAGAGGAGUUAUCAGAGAAUGAUGGUGGAAGAGGCUCAAGGCUGGUAGCAAGUGUAGAAAGGAAGUAUCCAGGGCUGAGUGCUGAACACAAGGAAUUGGAUAAUAGAUAAGAAAAGAUUAAAUAGAAGGCUAGGACUGCUGAUAGCUUGCUGCCAGGAGCCCCAUGGGCAGGGAAAUGUGGGGAAGGCAAGAUGUGAAGCGGUGGAAUUCUAACCUUGGCAUGGCCGUGCUUGCCAGUCUUGGAGGUGGACAUCUCCACAAUCUUACAUGGCCGUCCUUUGAGCACCACAAAGCCAUUCUUACGUAAUGCUGAGCACUGCAUUGGGAAGGUGGCUGAGGCCCCUGCAUCUCCUGUCUCGAAGUCCAAAUCAUCUGCCAUUUUAAGAGGCUUCGAUUCCAACUAGUCAAGAAAAAAACUGGGGUCAGCAAGGAUAGAGGCUAACAGUGUCUCCAAUUUAUCCCAUUACUCUCUAGAAACUGCUUCAUUUUCAUUCCAGAUGUUUAUUCCAUUACCCACUUAAACAAAAAUUCCUAGAUUAAAUACUGACUGUAAUCACAAA